rnacentral:rRNA from 1 species
UACGUAGGGGGCAAGCGUUGUCCGGAUUUACUGGGCGUAAAGAGCGCGUAGGCGGAACGUUAAGUCCGGUUUGAAAGCCCCCGGCUCAACCGGGGAAGAGUGGCUGGAAACUGGCGUUCUUGAGGGCGACAGAGGAGAGUGGAAGUUCCUGGUGUAGCGGUGAAUGCGUAGAUAUCAGGAGGAACACCCGUGGCGAAGGCGGCUCUCUGGGUCGACCCUGACGCUGAGGCGACGAAAGCGUGGGGAGCGAACGGG